GAACACAAUCCAAACUAUUAUUGUAGUAUGUUUAAGGAGAUCUUUUAUGCUAACGAUCGAUCGGUUGUGACCUGCACGUUAACACUCCGACGCUCAAGUCAGUAAAGUCACAAUAAAAUCAGUAUAAAUGUAAUUAGAUCAAAAGUCAUAUAUCUGGCUAACAUUCAUAUAUUUAUAGGCAUUCAACUCAGCUGAUGGGCAUUAACUACUUGUAACCGCUGAUCCAUAAUCACACAAGAUUCGCCCACUAAUUAUAAUCGUUGCUUACGUGCCCGCGAUAUUCGCCCCACCAGUCCAGUAAUGUCGUUACACUAUACUCACACUUCCUCUUCAUUCAACCGGCCGGCCUACCAGUGCCCCCGAUCGACUCCCAAAUUUUCCCGCUCAACCCUCACUAUACCUUCCAUUAGAGUUGUCAAAACAGGUAACCCCGUCUGACCUGGCCCGGCCCACCACGGGUUGGUCACUUAGUGAGCCAACCCAACCCGGCUCAUUUAUUAGCAAGCUUAAAAAACUUGAACCCUGUCCGACCCACCACGGGUUGGUGGGUAAACGGG
rnacentral:lncRNA from 1 species